CCCCUUCCAAUGAUCAGUCUAUGGGACUAUAUUUAAAGGGUCGGUUUACCGACUAUGGCGAUAAACGCUUUGUGGAAUAAGCGUUGCGGACCCGGGGGCAGUGCCCGGCGCCUCCACCAUAAUUAAUUGGAAAUCCUAGAUAAUUUGGAUUUUUGGAUAGGUUUAUGGGGGCGAAACAGGAUCGACGUGCGUAGUAAAGACAUGGUUUUCGCUCGGCAUGGCACCACCGUUAUCGGGCUAAACUUUACAAAUGCUAACGAUAAUGAAGCAUUUGCGGUAGCCGCUUAACAGCUAAGCUACUACGGGGUUCGGAGGGCACCUGGCAACAGAAGCCCUCCACU
rnacentral:tmRNA from 1 species